AUGGCCCGGGCCGGCAGCUCCAGCGGCGACGCGGCGGGCGCGGGGCGCUCCGAGCCGUGGGAGCUGUCCCUGGAGGAGGUGCUGAAGGCGUACGAGCAGCCCAUCAACGAGGAGCAGGCGUGGGCCGUGUGCUUCCAGUGCUGCCGCGGGCUGCGGGGCGCGCCGGGCGGCCGGCGGCGCAUCCGGGACACGGCGGACAUCCUCCUGCGCAGAGACGGCUCGGUCAGCGCGCGGCGGGAGUCCGGCGCCGCUGAGCCCACAACAAUGGUGUCACCGGCCAGCUCGGAAGCCCAGGUGGUGCAGUCGCUGGGCUUCGCUAUCUACCGCGCGCUGGACUGGGGGCUGGCUGAGCACGAGGAGCGCGAGCUCAGCCCGCAGCUGGAGCGGCUCAUCGACCUCAUGGCCAACAGCGACUGCGAUGACGACGGCGGUGGCGGGACGGCCGACGAAGGAUACGGGGGUCCCGAGGAAGAAGAGGAGGCAGAGGGCGGCCCUCGCACCGUGCGCACCUUCGCACAGGCUAUGCGCCUGUGUGCCGCGCGCCUGACCGAGCCCCGGGGCGCACAGACCCACUACCAGGCCGUGUGCCGCGCGCUCUUCGUGGAGACGCUGGAACUGCGCGCCUUCCUCGCCAGGGUCCGAGAAGCCAAGGAGAUGCUGCAGAGGCUCCGGGAGGAUGAACCGCAGGCAGAGAAGCCCCUUAUGGAGCUGGACAGCCUGAGGCGCACAGACUGGGCCCGACUCUGGGUCCAGCUCAUGCGGGAGCUUCGCCAUGGGGUGAAGCUGAAGAAGGUGCAGGAGCAGGAGUUCAACCCCCUGCCCACAGAGUUCCAGCUCACCCCCUUCGAGAUGCUCAUGCAGGACAUCCGUGCCAGGAACUACAAACUGCGCAAGGUCAUGGUUGACGGGGACAUCCCUCCCAGAGUGAAGAAAGAUGCCCAUGAACUCAUCCUGGACUUCAUCCGCUCCCGGCCUCCACUGAAGCAGGUCUCAGAGAGAAGGCUUCGCCCCUUACCUCAGAAGCAGAGAACUCUGCACGAGAAGAUCCUGGAGGAGAUCAAGCAGGAACGCAGGCUACGCCCUGUGGAGAGCAGGCGCUGGGACGGCCGGGGGUUCGGCUCUCUGCCCUGCAUCCUCAACGCCUGCUCUGGGGACGUCAAGUCCACUUCCUGCAUCAACCUGUCCGUCACGGAUGUUGGGAGCAGCGCCCAGCGCCCGAGGCCCCGGGUCCUGCUCAAGGCCCCUACGUUGGCUGAGAUGGAAGAGAUGAACACUUCUGAGGAGGAAGAGUCACCAUGCGGAGAGGGGACGCUGAAGCGAGAUCGUUCUUUCUCUGAGCACGACCUGGCGCAGCUCCGGAGUGAGGUGGCCUCUGGUCUGCAGCCGGUCCCUCAGCCCCCCGGAGGCCUGGAGUUGUCCCGGCCGCGAGCGGGCAGCAUGCAGUCCUGGAGGCCGAGCCCCCUGGAGCCGGGUUCUCUCCCUGUCAGUGUCCAGUCCCAGCCUGACCCCAGCUCCCUACCACGCAGUGACGUGAGCUCAGUCGAGGACAGGCAGGGGGCCUCCGUGGCCCCGGACGCCAGUCACCUGUGGCUGGAGUUCAGCCACCCCGUGGAAAGCCUGGCUCUGACGGUGGAGGAGGUGAUGGACGUGCGCCGUGUGCUGGUGAAGGCAGAGAUGGAGAAGUUCCUGCAGAACAAGGAGCUCUUCAGCAGCCUGAAGAAGGGGAAGAUUUGCUGCUGCUGCCGAGCCAAGUUCCCGCUGUUGUCCUGGCCACCCUCCUGUCUCUUUUGCAAGAGAUCGCUGCAAGGGCUGCAGUGGCGGAACGUGGAGGAGGAGUUCCCGCACAUGUACACCCACGGCUGUGUCAUGAAGGACGUUUGCAGCGACUGCACCGGCUUCGUAGCGGAUGUGGUGCACUCCAGCCGCAGGAGUGUGGAUGCCCUCAACACCACGCCGCGUCGUGCCCGCCAGACCCAGUCCCUGUAUGUCCCGAACACCUGGACACUCGACCUCAAGUGA
rnacentral:lncRNA from 1 species